UCCAGCCAUGCCGCGUGCAGGAAGACGGCCUUAUGGGUUGUAAACUGCUUUUAUACGGGAGCAAUAAGGGUUACGAGUAAUCCGAUGAGAGUACUGUAUGAAUAAGGAUCGGCUAACUCCGUGCCAGCAGCCGCGGUAAUACGGAGGAUCCGAGCGUUAUCCGGAAUUAUUGGGUUUAAAGGGUGCGUAGGCGGCCAUUUAAGUCAGCGGUGAAAUUUUGCAGCUUAACUGUAACAGUGCCGUUGAUACUGUUUGGCUAGGAUUUGGUUGUAGUGUGCGGAAUGUGUGGUGUAGCGGUGAAAUGCUUAGAUAUCACACAGAACACCGAUUGCGAAGGCAGCACACUAAGUCAUUAUUGACGCUGAGGCACGAAAGUGUGGGGAUCAAACAGGAUUAGAUACCCUGGUAGUCCACACUGUAAACGAUGAUAAACUCGCUGUCGGCGAUACACAGUCGGUGGCCAAGCGAAAGCAUUAAGUUAUCCACCUGGGGAGUACGACCGCAAGGUUGAAACUCAAAGGAAUUGACGGGGGCCCGCACAAGCGGAGGAACAUGUGGUUUAAUUCGAUGAUACGCGAGGAACCUUACCCGGGUUUGAAUUGCUGAUGGCGAUAAUUGGAGACAGUUAUUUCCCUUCGGGGCGUCAGUGAAGGUGCUGCAUGGUUGUCGUCAGCUCGUGCCGUGAGGUGUCGGCUUAAGUGCCAUAACGAGCGCAACCCUUGCCGUUAGUUGCCAUCGGGUCAUGCCGGGCACUCUAUUGGGACUGCCAUCGUAAGAUGUGAGGAAGGUGGGGAUGACGUCAAAUCAGCACGGCCCUUAUGUCCGGGGCGACACACGUGUUACAAUGGGGGGUACAGUGGGAAGCUACCUGGCGACAGGUUGCGGAUCCCCAAAUCCUUUCUCAGUUCGGAUCGGAGUCUGUAACUCGACUCCGUGAAGUUGGAUUCGCUAGUAAUCGCGCAUCAGCCAUGGCGCGGUGAAUACGUUCCCGGGCCUUGUACACACCGCCCGUCAAG
rnacentral:rRNA from 1 species